rnacentral:lncRNA from 1 species
UUUUUGGAGCCCUUCUUGGGAGCAGGAGCGGAUUUCGCUGGAUCCGGCAUUUUUGCGCGAAAAAAGAGAACAGAGACUUAAAGAAGUAAUCCGAACUACCGCAAAACGGGCUGGUUAUGCGCUACUUAUAGAGCCUGUAUGCAAAUGAAGACUCGCAAAGUGCUGCGCUUUAAUUGGUUAACUUACAACGGUGUCGUCAGAGGGGGUGGAGUCUAUGUAAAUAAUAGAUUCUAGUCUUGCUUCCUUAAUGGUCACUGUAACAAAAGUCUUGUUAUCCAAUCAGAAUGGUCCAUUUCACACUAACCAGUUUUAAGCUAGGUGAAGCGAUAGUUUCAACGGCUUGAGGUUUUUUUCUUGGUUUUCACUUUCCAUUAGACUUGCAUACGGAAGAAAUCUUAACGCCAGCUAGACAAGUUAACUCUCUUGCCUCGUUUUUGCAUUUUUAUUCUAUACUUUGUGGAAAUUUUUUUCUCUUCCUUGAAAUACUACCUCACCCACACAUUUUUAAAAAUCGCCAGAUAUUUACUCCCGCCCGCUUAAAUUACUAUUCUGGCUUGGACACCGCCUGUAGUAUGCAAUGAGGAAGAUGCUGAGCUUUAAUUAAGCUUAUAGUUCCUAAAUAAACCAGGAAACGAGUUUAUAAUUUUUAAGGGACUCGCCCCACCCUUACACUCAGGAUCUUCCACAUCUAGAAACUCCCCAUAGUCUCUUGCCCCCAUGCAAAACUUUACCCACAGAAUUGGGAGCCGGACCUCUAGCCUUAAACCAGCGUGAAAAGGCUCGGCCGGAACCACAAGGACCAUGCCUCUGCGGCUUUCUCUACUGCCGGCCAACUCACGGCUGGGCUUUGGGUUCUGUAACGUCACCCACCACGAGUGCCCCUGGCCCCUGACCGCUGCGCAAGGCAGACGCACAUCAGAUGGAGAGCCGGUACAGCUGCUCUUGAUGAAAACGGCAGUGGCUCUGAAAAGAGCCUUUAGAUCGACCACUUAAAAAUAUACCUUAGGCCCGCUCCCCGCGGAUGCGGCUGACCAACUGGAUGUCCUUGGGCAUGAUGGUCACGCGCUUGGCAUGGAUGGCGCACAGUAAAUGCAGGCCACAGUCUGCCAGCUGCCCAACCAUUCAGGCUUUUCAUUAUUAUAGGAAGCAUCUGGCCAAGGACCACCAACAUCUUCCUGUCCUGCCCCUGAAGCUGUGCCUAGAGGAGGUCUCUCAUAGAUGCCCACGUUCUCUUGACAAGAUAUUUGGGGAGGACCCCUGGCUACUGUCACUGCUGCCAUGCCUGCCAGGAGGAGGCACCUUCCUGACACUUCACUGCUGCUGCUCAGCAGGCCUGCCAAGUGGUUCUGCUGUGUUCUAGGAGAAACAGGAAAAAUGCCUCUCCUCCCACUUUGCACUGUGCUUUGUCACCUGGGCCCUAAAACACCAUUGCCUGCCCCUGACGCCCCAACAGCUCCCUCUACCAAACUGAGGCUGGGCUGGGAGACUAGGCACUACACCAUUCCAUUCUCCCUUCUCUUCUUCCAUUCUCCCUUCCCUCCCUCUCUUCUUCCCACUGCCUCCAAGACACCUGUACUGGAACUUUGUCCAUUCUUACACUCACACACACACACAUGCACAUGCAUAUGUGUACACACAAAAGUCUCUUGUCCAUCAGAUCAUACAAAUAUAUGCUUGGGACAGGGGUGAUCACAUGCCCCACAUGCCCAGUGGACAUUUAGGCUCAGAUAGGACAAUUCUUUCACAAGGAUGACAAAACCUACCUUCCGUGGUUGCUGUGAGAACAAGAAAUUGUACAUACAGUGCCCAUUCUACAGCAAACCCAACAAUGAUUUAAAAUCCACAAUAGGCCGUGCGGUGGCUCACGCCUGUAAUCCCAGUACUUUGGGGGGCUGAGGCGGGCGGAUCACGAGAUCAGGAGAUCGAGACCAUCCUGGCUAACACGGUGAAACCCCGUCUCUAUUAAAAAUAUAAAAAAUUAGCCAGGCAUGGUGGCAGGCGCCUGUAGUCCCAG